rnacentral:rRNA from 1 species
UACGUAGGGCGCAAGCGUUGUCCGGAAUUAUUGGGCGUAAAGAGCUCGUAGGCGGCCUGUUGCGUCCGCUGUGAAAUCCCGGGGCUCAACCCCGGGCCUGCAGUGGAUACGGGCUGGCUAGAGGCAGGCAGGGGAGAACGGAAUUCCUGGUGUAGCGGUGAAAUGCGCAGAUAUCAGGAGGAACACCGGUGGCGAAGGCGGAUCUCUGGGCCAGUACUGACACUGAGGAGCGAAAGCGUGGGUAGCAAACAGG